rfam:Ciona savignyi cont_40311, whole genome shotgun sequence.
GUCGUCGUGGCGUAGUGGUUAAGGCGACAGACUUGAAAUCUGUUGGGCUCUGCCCGCACAGAUUCGAAUCCUGUCGGCGACG